GACGAACGCUGGCGGCGUGCUUAACACAUGCGAGUCGAACGGAAAGGCCCUGCUUUUGUGGGGUGCUCGAGUGGCGAACGGGUGAGUAACACGUGAGUAACCUGCCCUUGACUUUGGGAUAACUUCAGGAAACUGGGGCUAAUACCGGAUAGGAGCUCCUGCUGCAUGGUGGGGGUUGGAAAGUUUCGGCGGUUGGGGAUGGACUCGCGGCUUAUCAGCUUGUUGGUGGGGUAGUGGCUUACCAAGGCUUUGACGGGUAGCCGGCCUGAGAGGGUGACCGGCCACAUUGGGACUGAGAUGCGGCCCAGACUCCUACGGGAGGCAGCAGUGGGGAAUAUUGCACAAUGGGCGGAAGCCUGAUGCAGCAACGCCGCGUGCGGGAUGACGGCCUUCGGGUUGUAAACCGCUUUCGCCUGUGACGAAGCGUGAGUGACGGUAAUGGGUAAAGAAGCACCGGCUAACUAUGUG
rnacentral:rRNA from 1 species